rnacentral:rRNA from 1 species
CUACGGGAGGCAGCAGUGGGGAAUAUUGCACAAUGGGCGAAAGCCUGAUGCAGCAACGCCGCGUGAGUGAUGAAGGCCUUCGGGUUGUAAAGCUCUGUCUUCUGGGACGAUAAUGACGGUACCAGAGGAGGAAGCCACGGCUAACUACGUGCCAGCAGCCGCGGUAAUACGUAGGUGGCAAGCGUUGUCCGGAUUUACUGGGCGUAAAGAAUGCGUAGGCGGAUAUUUAAGUGAGAUGUGAAAUUCCCGGGCUUAACUUGGGAGCUGCAUUUCAAACUGGAUAUCUAGAGUGCGGGAGAGGAAAGUGGAAUUCCUAGUGUAGCGGUGAAAUGCGUAGAGAUUAGGAAGAACACCAGUGGCGAAGGCGACUUUCUGGACCGUAACUGACGCUGAGGCAUGAAAGCGUGGGGAGCAAACAGGAUUAGAUACCCCGGUAGG